AGCUGUAACAUACAAUUAUCAAUGUUAAUUUUUCUCCCGUCUGCAUUCUCGUAAUAUACACUAUACGUUGAAUGAAAAAAAAUUCGAGAAGUGAUUUAGUGAUGCAAAGAUUUAGUGUAUAAAAAAAAAGUCACAAUAUUGGGCAGACUGAAAAUUAAAUGGGAAAUCUGCUGUCA